GAUGAACGCUGGCGGCGUGCCUAAUACAUGCAAGUCGAGCGAACAGAUAAGGAGCUUGCUCCUUUGACGUUAGCGGCGGACGGGUGAGUAACACGUGGGUAACCUACCUAUAAGACUGGGAUAACUUCGGGAAACCGGAGCUAACACCGGAUAACAUUUGGAACCGCAUGGUUCUAAAGAGAAAGAUGGUUUUGCUAUCACUUAUAGAGGGACCCGCGCCGUAUUAGCUAGUUGGUAAGGUAACGGCCUACCAAGGCGACGAUACGUAGCCGACCUGAGAGGGUGAUCGGCCACACUGGAACUGAGACACGGCCCAGACUCCUACGGGAGGCAGCAGUGGGGAAUCUUGGGCAAUGGGCGAAAGCCUGACGGAGCAACGCCGCGUGAGUGAUGAAGGCUUUCGGCUCGUAAAACUCUGUUAGUAGGGAAGAAAAAAAGUGUAAGUAACUGUGCACGUCUUGACGGUACCUGAUCAGAAAGCCACGGCUAACUACGUG
rnacentral:rRNA from 1 species